AGUCGGUGGGUCUCUCUCACAAUAUAUGCCCCCCACUCCUAAGUUUGAAGUGACUUUUGUACUUCGAGUGAAGGGAGUAACUAUCUUGAUAGAUGGACCACUGAUCCGAUCCUUCUUUGUCGUAUUUGCAUUGCUACUUUCAAAAAAAAUACUUAGGGAUUAAUGAUGCAUUGUUUCGCAACUCGCACCAUCUUUAUUAGGA
rnacentral:lncRNA from 1 species